GAUGAACGCUGGCGGCGUGCCUAAUACAUGCAAGUCGAGCGAACGGACGAGAAGCUUGCUUCUCUGAUGUUAGCGGCGGACGGGUAAGUAACACGUGGAUAACCUACCUAUAAGACUGGGAUAACUUCGGGAAACCGGAGCUAAUACCGGAUAAUAUUUUGAACCGCAUGGUUCAAAAGUGAAAGACGGUCUUGCUGUCACUUAUAGAUGGAUCCGCGCUGCAUUAGCUAGUUGGUAAGGUAACGGCUUACCAAGGCAACGAUGCAUAGCCGACCUGAGAGGGUGAUCGGCCACACUGGAACUGAGACACGGUCCAGACUCCUACGGGAGGCAGCAGUAGGGAAUCUUCCGCAAUGGGCGAAAGCCUGACGGAGCAACGCCGCGUGAGUGAUGAAGGUCUUCGGAUCGUAAAACUCUGUUAUUAGGGAGGAACAUAUGUGUAAGUAACUGUGCACAUCUUGACGGUACCUAAUCAGAAAGCCACGGCUAACUACGUG
rnacentral:rRNA from 1 species